UACGAAGGGGGCUAGCGUUGCUCGGAAUUACUGGGCGUAAAGCGCACGUAGGCGGGUCUUUAAGUCAGGGGUGAAAUCCUGGAGCUCAACUCCAGAACUGCCUUUGAUACUGAAGAUCUCGAGUCCGGAAGAGGUGAGUGGAACUCCGAGUGUAGAGGUGAAAUUCGUAGAUAUUCGGAAGAACACCAGUGGCGAAGGCGGCUCACUGGUCCGGUACUGACGCUGAGGUGCGAAAGCGUGGGGAGCAAACAGG
rnacentral:rRNA from 1 species